rnacentral:tRNA from 1 species
AGCCGAUUAGUGUAAUGGUAACACUCCUGACUCUGACUCAGAAGUUCCGGGUUCGAAUCCCAGGUCGGCUG